CUCGAGUGUGAUACAGUUUGUUGUGUUUACUUUAGAAUCAGCUGCCAUGACCUUUCAUUCUCAUCCACACAAUAACACAUGCCCUUCAUUUGAGCUGUUCAGAUGCAUGGUUUUGAUUCUAGUUUCAUUCGAAGACCACAAAAAGACACCAACUCCUCUUCCAUUUUGUCACUUCUGUGAAGACAAUAUGACAUCCGGCUUUCUCAAUGGUCUUGCUCCGAUGGUUAAAUCCUUCACACUUAAGAAGUCACAUGAAAGCUACUGGUCUCACACUGUCCUAGUAGAAUGGUGUAGCCACUCUAAACCACAGGUUUUUGAGGUCACAUAAAUCUUUUUGGCAUUUGUUUUGGAUUUAGUGCUAUCUCUGGAGAUUGGAUUUCUUUACCAGCAGGCUUCCGUACAAGCCACUCUGCAGCCAUGGGGUACUGCUCCUGAGCCCUUUCCCCAAAAGAAAAGAAAGCAUUUCAAGUCAAUGAUGGAGAGCUUCUUCUAUGUUUUUUUACAUUUAGUGUGUUUGGGGUUUUCUGUGUGUUUCUAUAUGCAUAACUGGACAGGAUUUAAACUGAUUAUUUAUACCUCGACAAAUAAGUAUGGAUUGACUGUAAAACUUAAUGGCAGAAAUUCCCAAAGCAUGUCAGAAGUCACACACUGCAAAGCUUUCCCAUUAAGACUGUAGCGACACUAGAUAUGCUCAUCUCUCCCGUAUACCAGAUCCGACAUUAGCCUCGAGAUUAGGCCGUGCGGACUGACUGAUGAACACAUUCACAUGCUUUUCCGCUUGCCCAGCAGAAAGCCCUUAAAUCAUCAAUAAGCAACUAACGCUCGUAAUAGGAAUGUACUCAGCCAAUGCAAAUAACCGGGGGUCUCAUGGAAGUGCAUGUCUGUGGUGUAUGGAAAUGAAGCCACUGAUCAAAUUGUGUCAACUAAAUGCAAUAAGCCUCAUCGAAGGCCACACUCCUCCUCACUCAACCUUGACCCCCUGCUGUGUAAGCUACACAGGCAUGUGUUUGAACAUGCAUACAUGCAAAUACACAUGAACAAACACAGCCUUGAUGGUGUAGAGGUUUGUUGACACUCCACUAAAACAUUCUUAAAGUUGCAGGCGCAAGACCACAAAAGCGAAGUUUUUUGACGGCAGCUCUUCAGCAGAUCCAUCACUACAUUCCUAAGGACUUCAGACAUGGAGCCCUUCAGAUGUUACUUCAAAUGAUGUUCGUUUCCGAAGACCACGCAGGGUAUUCAAACAGCACUGAAUCUAACCCAGCCUUCCGGCCCCUUUUGGCUCGGGUAAAUUGGACAACCAUGGCCGCUGUAUUGAUUGCAGGGGCCCCAUAUCAAAGAAUUGGCCUGUGCUCUGUGUGCGAGGGGAGAUAUGAAUUUUUUUUUUCUUUCUUCGCUAUCUCAAAAUCCUUUUCAGGCAUCUCUAUCGAUUGCUCAGAGAAACGCUGUUGGCAGUGGGCGCUCUGCUUGUUGGGAUUUUUUCAUUUCGCGGAACAAAGCGUCCUUUCCGGCAUGCUGUGAGUGCGGAGGGAGCUCUUCCUGCAUGGAGAGGGACAAAGCAAAGACGUGUCUCAGCAGCACGGUAAGGCCACGGAGAGCCGGGAGGCACAAAUGCAUGACAAGCGCUUCACUAGUGUUCACUAGCGUCCCCCACUGCCGGUCUCCUCUGGCCUUGCUGCCCACGAAAACGGCUACAGCGAAUGGUGAUAUAUCUUUGUUAAAAUGCCAUAGAUCCACAUUAGACUGUAUUGUCAUAAGGGGGAUAGGAUUUUUCCUGAGUGUGGUAAACAGUUCUCUCCCUGUGGAAAUAAAAUAAGUGACUUUUUUUUUCAGGGGCGAAACAAAUACACACAAACACACUCACACAAAACUUUAUUUCAGGAUUAUCAAUUAGCAUAUUUGCAGGAAUAACACACAUUCCCAUCAAAGGCCUGAGGUAAAAAAUGAAUUUUACACUCUGAAAAACCCAUUGUUCCUUUAAGCACUCAGGUUUCCCUGCCAACCAUUCUCUGCCGCUGAUUCAAUUACGGCUCUCAAAGACCUUCUCACCGCAGAGACAAAGGUGGAGGCACACGAUCACGUCCAACUCUUCAGUGCUGCUAAUUCCGACUGAGAAAGGAGCACUGGCAUUUAAAACGGUAAAAGUUCAUUGUGACAACAGAAAAUGCUGAGACCUCCUCAUUGUUAUUUUUUUUCUCUCGAUUUUCAUGUUUUUGCAAGUUUUCUCCCUUUUGCAAAUGCUCUAGCACCUACUCUGUCUUUGCAUAAUGUCUUUGCGCCCCCUUUGCCAAACUAUCUAAUUCACAUAUGGCCUCUCGCUAAAUUUGUAGUUCUAGCAUCUUGGACCUGUUUUAAACUACACCUAACUUAUGACUUACUGUCCAAUUCAUUUUACAAUUUGAAUAGCUCUCGACCACUGAUGUGACAACUUUCCACAAGGCCUCUGAUGUCAUCCUUCUAUUGCCCAUCUCCUUUGAAUGGGGCUGUAAAGUCCAUGUUCUUUGUAAUUAAUUGAACUGCAAGGCCAUCAGCUGUGGGGUUUCCAGUCUAUUACUUUUGAGCAUUUUUAAUUACAGAAUUCCGCAGAUUAAUUGAGAGUAAAUUUGUCUUAGCCUUCCUUUUUUAAAUCAAUCAUUUUUAAGAGGGGAAUAAAAAUCACUCCAUCUCAUUUCCUUCCACAGUGCAGGAUGUUGGCACAAAAAUAUAAAUUUGAGUCAUCGUGAUGAGUCAAGCUUGACGCAGGACUUUUUUUGUGCAUUCCAGAUGAAUAUGGAAUAAUUUCAGUGGUGGGUUGGUAUAUAGCACAGAUGUCUGGAGCACUUCCCAUGUCAGAUGUUCAGCUGAUCCACCACAAGAGCGCAAGACCUACUGUGCAUCGUAAAAGAAUGGACAAAGGCAAGGCCAAUGGCCUACAUAAUGAAACGCAUAAAUCAGUCAUAUCAAUCCUGGGAUCAGAGAGUUCAAUUAUUGAACGAAAGUCUCUUUUUGAUGUGUUAAAAAUGGCAUUUUCAACAGUGUUCACUAUCAGAGAGAUAAAAGUGGACCCCUGAACUUUACGCGUGACCAGAAAAUGUUGCCCCUGAAAGCGUAUCGGCACGCGGAGCAGUGAAGAUGAUCCACUCUGACUUUGACCCAACAAAACAUUCAUCCCAGCUCUCAAGAGGCGAGCACUUACGUCAGAAUUGUGCUCCCUCAUUCAGCUAACUGCCCAAAAAUGAUCUUUCCCCAGCUACCCCUGACAUUUUCACAUUUCACAAAGACAUGGAUCGCUCCACAUUCUUGAGUGAACACCCCGCCCCCCCCCCCAGAAUGUUCGUUCUUUCACUACAAGUAAAAGCGUCUUGAGCCUUGUGUUCGGCCACAGGAGAGCCGCUGCUCUCUCAGUAUUGUCACACCUUGGCUCUCUCUCGUGGCUCGAAUCAUGUCAUGAUAUUAAACGCUGAUGAUUUGGACAGAUUAGUCCCCCUUUUCAUCGCUACCCAGCGGUGCCCUCUGCCUCUCCCCCCCACUGUGCCACUGACAGUGAGUACCUGUCAGGACCAGUUGCUCUUAAAACCAGCAACACAAGCGCCACUGUCAGCUCAAGGCUAAUAUUCAAGGCAGGACAGGAUUUGGGUUAGUGAGUGUGGCUGUGUGUGUGUGUCUGUCUAUCUAUCUAUCUAUCUAUCUAUCUAUCUAUCUGUGUGUGUGUGUGUUUGUGGGGGGGGGGGGGGGGUCUGUCUAUUUUUGUAUUAGGCCAUACAGUAUACAACUUAACAUAUACUAGUGUGUGUGUCUAUCUGUGUAUCUAAGUGUAUAAGUCCCUACAGAUAAAUACAUUAAUAUCCAUACAGCUAUUAUUGCAAGACUAACUUCACAUAUAUGCCACAUUGAGAAAUGCUGAGUGAGAUACUGUAAGUCAGUGUGUUACUGCAGCAUGGCUGUAAACUGUAUGAACCAUCAUGUUUCAAGCCUCAAUGCAAAGUCUGUCCAAAUCCGGCAAUUUUUCAUGUGGCGCAUUGACAUUGAGCCUUCACAAAACGCACAGUAUAAACCUAUUUUGUCUCAAUACAUACACUGCAAUACUUCAUUCUUUUAACUCUUCAGACAUUUCAUCAUUUUGCAAAGCCAACUGAUCACUCACAAAAUUACUCCUAAAUUGGAUCACUCAAAAUGAAAGAAUUAUCUCAUUGCAGGCUCAUAAAGAAAUGUGAUAAAUGGGACACUGUGGUGAGAUUGGGUUGGAGAGGUAAGGGGAGAGACAAGAGAGAGAAAGAUGGUGGUGGGUUAAAGUAAGGGGGAAAUGCAGGGGGUUUUACCCACUGAUGGCUGUGCAUCCACAAGCUUUCAUAAAUUAUUUGUGUCAGUAAAGUCUGAAUCAGCAUGGGAGAAACAUGAAUUUUCUGCAAGAGCAGAUGGUUCUGGGAAAACACAUCUUAAGUGUGUGUGUGAGUGACUGACCGUGUAUCUGUGAAUAUGUGUAUCCGUGUGUAUGAGAAAGUCUUCGUGAGUGCGUGUUUGUGUGUGAGCGUAUACGCCAGAGACGUAAAAACUCACUUGUUCCACGUUCUUCACAGGUCUUAUCCACGUUAGUAGGGGAAAGUGCAAGGGGGGAUGAAUGUAAAAGAUCAAAGUUCCCGUAAGAGUUCAGGCAGCCUGAAAAAUAUGAAUAGUUACUUACCGGGGGUAAGGAUUUGUGUCCAUCAUCUUAAGCUCAGGCCCCCUUUGUUCUGAGAAGUCUGCGGAGCCAGCGGAACACGCCACGCUGAAAUCUAAUCUUUCCCUCUGUGCUGCCACACCAACUGUGGCAAGAAUACAUAUUUAUGAUCCCUCUCAAAACCUGCCCGUCUCUGACUGAGUAAACAAACACAGGAAAAACGCCACAGCUAUGCUCACACGGCUGGCUGUCUCACCUCCUCGCUCACUCUGCAAUCACACCCCAUACACACAUUUUAGCAUGUAUAUAAUUUCACUUUCCAACGUGCCAGUGUGCUGCUGUGAUUAUGCUGCUGCACGCCAUUAUG
ensembl:lncRNA